rnacentral:rRNA from 1 species
GAUGAACGCUGGCGGCGUGCCUAAUACAUGCAAGUCGAGCGAACAGACGAGGAGCUUGCUUCUCUGACGUUAGCGGCGGACGGGUGAGUAACACGUGGAUACCCUACCUAUAAGACUGGGAUAACUUCGGGAAACCGGAGCUAAUACCGGAUAAUAUAUUGAACCGCAUGGUUCAAUAGUGAAAGACGGUUUUGCUGUCACUUAUAGAUGGAUCCGCGCCGCAUUAGCUAGUUGGUAAGGUAACGGCUUACCAAGGCAACGAUGCGUAGCCGACCUGAGAGGGUGAUCGGCCACACUGGAACUGAGACACGGUCCAGACUCCUACGGGAGGCAGCAGUAGGGAAUCUUCGGCAAUGGGCGAAAGCCUGACGCAGCAACGCCGCGUGAGUGAAGAAGGUCUUCGGAUCGUAAAACUCUUUUAUUAGGGAAGAACAAAUGUGUGAGUAACUAUGCACGUCUUGACGGUACCUAAACAGAAAGCCACGGCUAACUACGUG